GUAGGCGGUUUAGUAAGCAAAUAGUGAAAUCAUGUGGCUCAACCAUACUGACUAUUAUUUGAACUGCAGAACUUGAGAGCGAGAGGGGUGAUUGGAAUUCCCGGUGUAGGAGUGAAAUCCGUAGAUAUCGGGAGGAACACCAAUGGCGUAGGCAGAUCACUGGCUCGUUUCUGACGCUAAGGCACGAAAGCGUGGGUAGCAAACGGGAUUAGAUACCCCGGUAGUCCACGCCGUAAACUAUGGAUGCUAGCUGUUUGGAGUAUCGACCCUCUGAGUAGCGAAGCUAACGCGUUAAGCAUCCCGCCUGGGGAGUACGAUCGCAAGAUUAAAACUCAAAGGAAUUGACGGGGACCCGCACAAGCGGUGGAGCGUGUUCUUUAAUUCGAUGUUAAACGAAGAACCUUACCAGGACUUGACAUCCUUGGAAUUUUUAUGAAAGUAAAAAGUGCCUUUUGGAACCAAGUGACAGGUGUUGCAUGGCCGUCGUCAGCUCGUGUCGUGAGAUGUAGGGUUAAGUCCCUUAACGAGCGCAACCCUUGUGAUUAGUUGUAUUUUUCUAAUCAGACUGCCUCGGCAACGGGGAGGAAGGAGGGGAUGAUGUCAGGUCAGUAUUGCCCUUACGUCCUGGGCUAGAAACGCGCUACAAUGGCUAGUACAAAGGGCAGCCAACCCGCAAGGGGGAGCUAAUCCCAUCAAAGCUAGUCUCAGUUCGGAUUGCAGGCUGAAACUCGCCUGCAUGAAGCUGGAAUCGCUAGUAACCGUAAGUCAGCAAAUUACGGUGAAUACGUUCCCGGGUCUUGUACACACCGCCCGUCAAGCCACGAAAGUCGCCAACACCCGAAAUCUGAUUUAAUUCGGCCUAAGGUGGGGGAGAUAAUUGGGGUU
rnacentral:rRNA from 1 species